ensembl:lncRNA
GAAAGAAUACUGGAGUGGGUUGCCAAUCCCUUCUCCAGGGGAUCUUCUCAAUCCAGGGAUUGAACCUUCAUCUCCUGCAUUGGUAGGCGGAUUCUUCACUGAGUUACCAGGGAAACCCAAGAUCCACUAUAAUGACUCACAAUAUUCAAGCAGUAUGGGAGAUCACUGGAACUGCCUAAAAGUGGGGACAACAGCCUCUAGUCUACGCUACAAGAUAAUGAUAUCAAAUAUUUUCUUCAAUAAGAUCUUUUCAAUAUCGGUAAAAAUUAUGCUAAAGGGAUCUUUGUUGUUAAAGGAAUCAUUUACAUAAAUGAGUGUUUAGUGAAUGAUACAGAGACAAUCUUUUGGAAGGACCUUGCUCAUUGUCAUGUGCACUACAAGCUGCAAUUUGGAAAACUUACUGUGUGAAAUCCUGUCAAUUCUUGGUUCUUGAAGACCAGUGAUCUCUCCCAAACACUGGUGACUGCGGCAUAUUUAGUGUGUAAGAGGCCACCGAGGCCGAAGAUUUUUAAAAAUUAUUGUACAAAUUCUUAUGUUAAACUAUCUAAGCUCUGCUGUAGGGAAAAAAAAAAUGCUUUUUAAUAUGCUGUCCAUGUUUGUCAUAGCUUCCCAGUUUCCCAUCCUCUUCUUUGUACAGAGUACCAAGGAUUCUUCCCAUCAUUCACAAAAAAGGAGAAAGCUGUUUCUGAAGCUGAGAAACCCCAAGGAAAUAGAAAUCUCAUGAAGACACAGAAAAUGGAGUUAUGAAAAUAAUCAUUGUUAUGCUCCUAGUGCCUACUACGUGGCUUGGACUUCCAAAC